UCUUUUACAAGCUUGCAAUAUCUUUUUAAAAUUUCUAGACAGAGAAUAGGCUUCAUAGUAAAGGAAGUCAGUGAAGCAAUAGAGAAAGUAUUGAAGAAUUGUAUAAAGAUGCCAACAACACCUGAGGAAUGGCAAGGUUUAGUACAACAAUAUGACACAUUAUGGAAUUUCCCCCAUUGCCUGGGCUCUAGGUAUGGAUGGCAAACAUGUAAUAAUACAAUCACCGAUGAAUAGUGGAAGUGAUUUUUAUAAUUAUAAAAAUUUCUUUAGCGUCGUAUUAUUUGCUGUAGUUGACGCUAAAUACAACUUUGUAUAUGUAAAUGCGGGAUGUCAAGGAAGAAUAUCGGACGGCGGUGUAUUUAACAACUCUGAACUUUGUCAAAGAAUAAAAAAUAAAUCGUUAAAUAUUCCUGAACCCAACCCAUUACCUUUGCGAACUCUAGACAUCCCAUACUAUUUCAUUAGUGACGAAGCUUUUGCCCUUUCAGAAAAUGUAAUGAAAGUUUACUCGGGAUUCCAUGCAAAAGGGUCUAUAGAGAGAACAUUUAAUUACAGACUUAGCAGAGCGAGAAGAGUAGUGGAAAACGUAUUUGGUAUAGUUUCAGCAGUUUUUCGAGUGUUAAGAAAGCCUAUGUUAUUAGAACCAAACCACGCCUCUUCAGUAGUAAUGGCAAUAACGCAUCUUCAUAACUAUCUCAGAAAAAGUGAUGAAUCCAGUGACAUUUACACACCUUCAGGGACAUUUGAUCAUGAAAUAGAAGGAGUUGUUAGACCAGGAAAUUGGAGAAACGACAGCGAACUUACAAGCCUUUUCGCUUUGGAGAGGCGACCGCGUAGAACAAGUACAACAGCGAAACAAAUACGCCACGAAAUUGCAGAAUACUGUUCACGGGAGGGAGCUUUGAACUGGCAAGAAAGAUAUACUUAGAAAAACUUACCGUAUCAUUUGUAUUUCGUGGUUUAUUUCGGUCCAACACAAAUAGUAAUGGUUUAAAUGCAAACCAUGUACUAGUAUAGAUUUCGUCGGCACCUGAAAAAUAAAUAAUAUCAUUAGGACACUUUAAAAAUAAAUACUAUAAACAAGCGA